rnacentral:rRNA from 1 species
CAAUAGCGUAUAUUAAAGUUGUUGCAGUUAGAACGCUCGUAGUCGGAUUUCGGGGCGGGCCGACCGGUCUGCCGAUGGGUACGCACUGGUCGGCGCGUCCUUCCUUCCGGAGUCCGUGCCUACUCUUAACUGAGCGGGGGCGGGAGACGGAUCGUUUACUUUGAAAAAAUCAGAGUGUUUCAAGCAGGCAGCUCGCUCUUGCAUGGAUUAGCAUGGGAUAAUGAAAUAGGACUUUGGUGCUAUUUUGUUGGUUUCGAACACCGAAGUAAUGAUUAACAGGGACAGUCAGGGGCACUCGUAUUCCGCCGAGAGAGGUGAAAUUCUCAGACCAGCGGAAGACGAACUACUGCGAAANCANNNGCCAGGGAUGUUUUCACNGA